GCCAGGUGCAGUGGUGCACACCUGUAAUCCCAGCUCCUCAGAAGGCUGAGGCAAGAGGAUCACAGGUUCAAAGCUGGCCUCAGCCACUUGGUGAGACCUUGUCUUAA
rnacentral:sRNA from 1 species